GUACUCAACUUCGGCAGCACAUAUACUAAAAUUGGAACGGUGCAGAGAAGAUUAGUAUGGUCGCCCCCGCACGUGGAGGACACGCAAAUUCGUUAAGCGUUUCAUACUUUU